ACCACUUCUUGGUAUACCACCCCCUUCAUCUGAAAUCUUGAUGGUAACAUCCUCUAGUCCAUCAGCAACUAUUAUUCUAACAGGUGGGGCAACUUUGUCCGAGUCCACAAAUCUCUCUUCCACAGCACGCAAGGAGUUCUUAACCAACUCAAAAACCAUCAAAUGCAGAUGUGUUGGCACAUAGGGAAAUGUAAAGUUUGGGUCCCCAUAAAUGUUGACCUUAGGUGCACUUCCAUAUUCGCGCAAGCAAAUAGAACGGGCAUCCUCUGUAGCGUUGCGUGCAACCUCCAAGGGGGACAUUUUUGUAUGUAUAUAGCCCACACAAUCAGGAGGUGGAUUAGGAUCGUGUAGAGCGACAUGCUGCCCGAUAAGCAUUCGGAUGCCAAUCCUAGACAUGUAAAAGCGAUCAAGAAACUGGUGUAUCUCAUCCAAAUCCUUAUAAUCAAUCUUAGGGUGUAGAUCUUUUUUUAGUUGUUGAACUCCCAAAGCCAUCAUAGGUACAACAUUGUUAUGUCGUACUUUAACCAAAUUAAUCAUUUUUGUGAAUUCCAACUCGUCAUUCUCAUCUUUUAUAUCUGGAAAGGAUCUAAGGUCACGGAAAGAAUCCAAAUACCAAUCCCGAACCUUUAGAACAGCAGGCUUGAGAGAUAAACCAUAAGGAAGAGUUUGUAGGUCAAUAACCCUGCGAGCAAUGCGCAUAGGGAGUUCCUUGUGAAGGAAUUGAGAUGAAAUAAGCAAAUUACGGGGAGUGGGUUUGGAACCGAACUCCAUCAUGUACUUGAGACUCACACCAGUUUGUUUCAUCGAACCCCAUCGAUGAACUUCCUCAAUCAGUUCCUUAGAAAACGACUCGUACAGUUUCUUUGCCGCCAUAUAUGACUUAAGAUCUUAUUAAUAAUAAUAAUCUAUUGAAAAUGGAAGAAGGCGGUAUCUACGAGGCAAGUUUCACCUUUUUUAUCCAUUCAUCCAUCUUCUGACACACUCACUCACCACCACAGCAACAGAGAGAGAAAGAUGGUUCCGAUCCAUCAUCAAAAAAUCAAAAUUCAGAUAAGGAGAAAACAAAAACUGUCUCUUACUCUCUUGCUCGGGCGGCUGUUGCCUAAUAUUUAGCCUAAAA
rnacentral:misc_RNA from 1 species